AUUUGCUAUCCAGCAUGUCACUCACAGCAACUCCUCUUCCUUCUAUUUGAAGAAGCUGUCCUGACAGUCAACUCUUUGUGGAGUGGAGCAAGACUGUGAGGGACAAAAUGGGUCAAUCUCUUCUCCAGUGGUGUCUCUGAUUCAUUAAUGGCUGUGCUAUA